rnacentral:rRNA from 1 species
UACGUAGGGUGCAAGCGUUAAUCGGAAUUACUGGGCGUAAAGCGUGCGCAGGCGGUUAUGUAAGACAGAUGUGAAAUGCCCGGGCUUAACCUGGGAACUGCAUUUGUGACUGCAUGGCUUGAGUUUGGCAGAGGGGGGUAGAAUUCCACGUGUAGCAGUGAAAUGCGUAGAUAUGUGGAGGAACACCGAUGGCGAAGGCGGCUCACUAGACCGAUAUUGACGCUCAUACGCGAGAGCAUGGGUAGCAAACAGG